UACGUAGGGUGCGAGCGUUGUCCGGAAUUAUUGGGCGUAAAGAGCUUGUAGGCGGUUUGUCGCGUCUGCUGUGAAAAUCCGGGGCUCAACCCCGGACUUGCAGCGGGUACGGGCAGACUAGAGUGUGGUAGGGGAGACUGGAAUUCCUGGUGUAGCGGUGAAAUGCGCAGAUAUCAGGAGGAACACCGAUGGCGAAGGCAGGUCUCUGGGCCACUACUGACGCUGAGAAGCGAAAGCAUGGGGAGCGAACAGGAUUAGAUA
rnacentral:rRNA from 1 species